UCGUGACGUCUUUUGCGCGAGCCGAGGCUGUCCAGAGCGGCUGUGGAGGCUGGGAGUCCUGGACCGGGUCCCCUCUCAUGCCGCUGUUAGGAGCCGAGCAGGGACGGACAGUAACGAGGAUAGGCUCUCACCCUGCGGCGUUAUUACGAUCCAUGGUGUCCGUCGUGGGACGGGCCGCCUUGCGCGGAGGUGUCGGCCGGGGCUGCGCGCUUUCCGAGGCCUUCGUCCCGGCUCUCUGGCCUCGUCCGCCUCCGGAGGCGGCACCCUGAUCCUUGUGCGCGUUUCUACAAGGGGGAGACUGGGGCUGGGAGGGCGACAGUCAUCCUGAGGUCACCGCCCACUGUGCUUGUGGGGGUUCGGCUCUUCUCACAGAACCCGCUCCGUUCCCCGGCUCCUCAACCCGCUUCUGCUCACAGGAUCCCAUGGCGGCCGCUGGGCUCAUGGACCGGGCUCAGACGUGGCUGUACUUUUCUCCCAGGAGGAGUGGGGGCUCCUCGAUGAGGCUCAGAAAUGCCUGGACCACCACGUGAUGCUGGAGACCUUGGCGCUUCUGUCCUCACUGGGUUGUUGGCAUGGAGACCAGCCUGAGGAGCCACCCUCAGCGCAAGGCGUUUCUAGGGAGUGUCACCAUCUGGAAGACCCAGCCCUAGCAAAGCUCUGGAGAUUAGCCUUUGUGGAGGAGAAAUCAGCCAGACAUGGAACCUCAUGCAUCCAGACAUCCUAGGGAAAUUCUCUUAAGUACCAAGAAGACUGGAAGAUUUCAGGAUGCACCUUGCACUUUCGGACCUGCCUGGAGUCCUUGGCAAAAAUAAGCUGCUGCCAGUAGCUGUUAUAGGAACCUUUCUCUACUGUAUACCAGGGGAUCACAGGGCUCAAGAAUCCUCCUUGAGGUGCUCAGAGAGGACAGAAAGCUCUGCUUUUCCUUCAUCUGGACGACUCACCAGUUGCUUGACUUUUGAGCUGCCUCUUUCCCUCCCCACUGAUUGUUUUUGGUGGGUUAUGACCCAGCUUUGGACAAGAGGACUCUAGCUGGCUUCUGCAAGUGGCUUAUGGAGAUUUACCUUCUUAGUAUAUUUGACUGACUUGUAAGAGUUGGGUUGAUUUUUUUCCACCCUGAGACUCACCCACCCCAGGACUGCCCAGCUCACCCUGCAGGUGUGUGUGGUGAUAAGGUUCUUAUAGAUGAAGGAUGUUUAUUCGUGGGAUGCUAUUUAAUAUCUGCUGUGGACGGACUGAGAGUAGAUACUCCCUGCUCUGCCAGAAUAAAAGAGUCAACAGAUUUUUUGGGG